GAGCAAGGGAGUGCUCGGGAAAUGGAAACAAUGAAUGAAUCAAUCAGUCAAUCAGACAACAGGGUUAACAAUUUCCAGAGACAGCCCGUACAUAGAAGGAAUGUUUACUGAAAAAAAUGAAGAGGGGUCAGGGCAAGGCGAGGAGCAAGAAGCACCCCCAAGGAAACAGAGAAGACCAGUACAACUGUACCUCUUUGCCAGCUGCACCAUCCGUACCAGGUGGCACGUUCCAGAGCCAUAGCCUCUGUUCUAUUCAUCUCCAGUCUCCUGGGGUGGAAGUGUCCAGCACAGAGACUGCCACACUGCAAGACGAAGGGGCUGGACACACGGAAGAGAGAGGCGGAACCCUGCACCCCCUCAACCUCAGCCCUACUGAGUCUCCAAUGGGGCCACGCUUCUGAGUGCACCUCCCCGUGUCAUCUGUAAUGUGAGGGGGAACCAGGCUUGAUAUGGCAUUCCCAAUCCAGGGCCUCUGGACCCCUUGAGAUGCAUAAAAAUAGUGAUGGGGGCCUGAGAGUUCUUUUUUUUUUUUUUUUUUUUUGGUCAUGAACUAUUUUUAACAUUUCCGAAAGCCUCCUGGAAAUUAUUAUGCAGCCAGCCACAACAGGGCUGCAACAAAAUGCCAGUAUCUUCGCUUUUCUCUGGAGUCCCAUCAGCUCAGUGCCGUCACACUGAUCAAAGGCACUGCCUGGCAGUCAUCUAUGUUAGUGAUGAGUAAAGUAGACAGG
rnacentral:lncRNA from 10 species